AUCCCAGACUCCUACGGGAGGCAGCAGUGGGGAAUAUUGCACAAUGGGGGAAACCCUGAUGCAGCGACGCCGCGUGAGUGAAGAAGUAAUUCGUUAUGUAAAGCUCUAUCAGCAGGGAAGAAAAUGACGGUACCUGAGUAAGAAGCCCCGGCUAACUACGUGCCAGCAGCCGCGGUAAUACGUAGGGGGCAAGCGUUAUCCGGAUUCACUGGGUGUAAAGGGAGCGUAGACGGCGGCGCAAGUCUGGAGUGAAAGCCCGGGGCCCAACCCCGGGACUGCUCUGGAAACUGCGGCGCUGGAGUACGGGAGGGGCAGGCGGAAUUCCUGGUGUAGCGGUGAAAUGCGUAGAUAUCAGGAGGAACACCGGCGGCGAAGGCGGCCUGCUGGACCGUGACUGACGUUGAGGCUCGAGAGCGUGGGGAGCAAACAGGAUUAGAUACCCGCGUAGA
rnacentral:rRNA from 1 species